UCUGUCUCCAUACCAAGGGCAAUGCUUGAACUCCCUACAGCUGCUGAAAAUUUUAUUGCAGGGGACUGGUUCAAAGCCAGAGACAUGGACAGAGCAGCAUAUUCUUGGCGUAUUCGAAACCAGAGCUGAAAUCAAGAUGGGUUUGCUGGCCAUAAUCAUUUGUUGUCAAGAUAAACUCUCUGAUGUAUACACAGAGUUGCUUCCUGCGCGUUCCAAGGCUCUUAAAUCUGGAACCGCGAUAUUAAAAGAUGUUGAAUUGUAUGGCUAUUGUGGGUUUUGUUGCUUCAACUAACUUGGAGAGGAGACCGAAAGUGCCAUGCAAAUUAUUUAGAAGUUCAUUCAUCCU